rnacentral:rRNA from 1 species
UACGGAGGAUCCAAGCGUUAUCCGGAUUUAUUGGGUUUAAAGCGCGCGUAGGCGGCCCUGUAAGUCCGCUGUGAAAGUCAAAGGCUCAACCUUUGAAUGCCGGUGGAUACUGCAGGGCUAGAGUCCGGAAGAGGCAAGUGGAAUUCCUGGUGUAGCGGUGGAAUGCGCAGAUAUCAGGAGGAACACCAACGGCGAAGGCAGCUUGCUGGGACGGUACUGACGCUAAGGCGCGAAAGCGUGGGGAGCGAACAGG